CUUCAGACUGCUACUAACAGUGUCUAUGUUUCUUGCCUUCAUUGUGGUUUUCCUUAUUAUCUUGAGUGGUUUCAUGGUCUUUUCAACAUCGAGCACACCAUCAUAUCCAAUCACAAUUUUAUUUGUCUGUGUAUUCGUUGUCAUGGCGUCAUUGACAAUUUCAACAGCUUUUUACUAUAACAACCUGAUGAAGCAAGAUACAAAGAUACCCCUGUGAACUUCAACACUUUGAAGUCAGAUAUGACAUCCUCCCUUGUAACAAAUUUCGUUAGCGAUAACAUCAGCAGUGUAAAUGUGACGUCAAACGAAUGGAACAUGUUUUUU